GUAGGCUUCACGCUCCUACCAGAAUCUCAUGCUGCCGCUGAUCUGACAGGAGCAGCAGCGCAGGUGGUAAGGCGAGCGAUGGGGAGCGGCUGUAAAUACGGACGAAGCUUCACUUGCUCUCCCUCCAUCCCACCUCCUGCUGUGCGGCCAGUUCCCACACUUGUUCCCAGCCCGGGAUACCAGUCCAGCUGCCAGGCUGUCCAGCUGUCCUCCUCUGGGCCACAUGGUCAUGCCACAUGUGCGUCAGCGGCUUUGGGAAGCAGGCUCAUCUUAUAGACUUGGAUUUUAAUAUUUCCCACAAGUUCUCACAGUUACCAGCAUCUGAAAACAACACAAGAAAUAUAUGAUGGAUGAAAUCAGAGUAACAUAUACUUUUAUCAGUUCACAAAGUACUCCAAGGAAGAAUGGACCAGACUUCACAUAUGCACAGCUCCUCCUGAUUGUGAGGACUUCUCAGACGUCCCUCGUUUUUGAUGACCUUGACAGUUUCGAGGAGUGCUGGUCUCCUUGACUGUUACAACACCAUUUGAUCAGAAGUCUAAGCUAUGCUAUGGUUUGGUCCGUGCACCCCCAUCCUCCCACUGGUGGACUUCGGACCUUCUCCUUCUUGCUUAUUGAUGGCUUAUCCCCUUGAGCGCCUUACUCACCCUCCUAUGGCAGGAGGCCUCCAUUCCCCACAUAAAUGGAUGAAUGAAUGAAAAGGGAAAAAAUACGAUGUUGCCUAAUGUCUAAACCAAGUGAUUUUGAAUUUGUUGGAUUAACUGGAAAAUUUAAGACCAAGUGGAUCUUAUUUAUCUUAGCUAAUUGGCAGACCCCUGGAUGCCUGUCAUAUUGAAUUUCAAGUUUAAAAUACCUCUAACAGGACUUCCCUGGUGGUGCAGUGCAUAGGACUCCAGGUUCAAUCCCUGGUCAGGGAACUAGAUCCCACAUGCGUGCCACAACUAAGAGUUUGCAUGCCACAACUAAGGAGCCCACAAGCUGCAACUAAGACCUGAUGCAACCAAAAUAAAAACAAAUAAAUAAAAAAUAAAAUAAAAUACCUCUACUAUAUAAUUUGGGGCUAAUUUUUGUGCUAAUUACUAGAUUCGAGGUAAGCAACAAGGCAUUAUGGUGGUUUUAGAAAAUGCAUGGAAGGAAAACUUAAAACUGAAAACAUCCUCUUCAUUGACAUCUCUACCCAGAAAUGACAGUGAGACUG